rnacentral:tRNA from 1 species
CCCCUGGUGGCUCAGAUGGUAAAGAAUCUGCCUGCGAUGCAGGAGUCCUGGGUUCAAUCCCUAGGUGGGGAA